rnacentral:lncRNA from 13 species
UAUAAUAUUAAUCCACACUCUUCUGACCCGCUGUAACUCACACUGUACUGAACUACUGUAUGUCUCUCUCCUUCUCUCUCUCUCUCUCUUUCUCUCUCACACACGCACACACACACACAAUAGUUUAAUUUUAAGAACAUAUCUACAGUAUAGCAUCCUUCCUUUCUAUAGACUAUUGGCAUUCUCUCUCUUGGAUCUGUUUUUUUUGCAUUGCUGAACCUUGUACACUCUCCAGGACAAGCUGAUAGAGUUGGAUUGAGAGUUGUGAAUUCUGUCAUGAAUCCUCCCGCAUUAUCUCUUCCUUUCCUUCCUCUCCAUAUCUCAGUCCCAUCAAUACCUACCUAAAGAACAGUUCUAAUUCCUAAAUGACAGAGAAGCCAGGGGCCAAAACAACUCCAAAAAUCUUUACCAAUCAAAUAGGAUAGUAAAAAAACGGUAUAUACAUCAUAGAUAAAAACAUACAUGCACAGAUAUAAUUUCACUUGGCGCUAAUAGGGGUGGAUUCUAUAAGGAGUACAGGUGGUUAUGGUAGCAUUGGUAACAGAGGUGGUGGUUUUGGCAAGCCAUGGGUUGGAAGUCUACACACCCCUUCACAAUUUGCCUUAAAAUUACAUCUAAAAAAGGGAUUACAUUAGAUUUGUUUCCUACUGAUCUACACAACCUACUCCACAUUUGAUAUAAGAAAUUUCAAAUGACUGAAAAACACAAAAUGAGUAAAUAGUUGGUGGAAGCACCUUUGGCAGCGAUUACAGAUGUAAAUAUUUUGAAUUAGAUUCUACCAACCUUUCACAACUCUUAGGGCAACAUAUGUCCAUUGUUUUUGUCAAAAUUGCUCAAGCUCAGUGCAUUUGCGUGGGAAUCAUUGAUGGACAGCAAUAUUCAAACCUUGUCUCAUAAUUUUAAAGCACAUUUAAGUCAGGAGAGAAUGGACCAUUCAGGAACAUUCAACAC